GAGCACGUAGGUGGGUUUGUAAGUCAGAUGUGAAAGCCUUCUGUUCAACGGAAGAAUUGCAUCUGAAACUGCGAGUCUUGAGUGUAGGAGGGGAGAAUGGAACUUCAGGUGGAGCGGUGAAAUGCGUAGAUAUCAGAAGGAACGCCGGCGGCGAAAGCGAUUCUCUGGUCUAUUACUGACACUCAGUGUGCGAAAGCUAGGGGAGCAAACGGGAUUAGAUACCCCGGUAGUCCUAGCCGUAAACGAUGGGCACUAAGUAGAGGGGUUUU
rnacentral:rRNA from 1 species